rnacentral:rRNA from 1 species
AAAUUUAACAUAUGGUGAAUCAUGAUAACUUUACGAAUCGCAUGGUCUUUUGUGCCGGCGAUAGUUCAUUCAAAUAUCUGCCCUAUCAACUUUCGAUGGUAGUAUAGAGGACUACCAUGGUGUUAACGGGUAACGGAGAAUCAGGGUUUGAUUCCGGAGAAGGAGCCUGAGAAACGGCUACUACUUCCAAGGAAGGCAGCAGGCGCGCAAAUUACCCAAUCCCGACACGGGGAGGUAGUGACAAAAAAUAACAAUACCGGUCUUAUUUAAGUCUGGUAAUUGGAAUGAGUACAAUCUAAAUCCUUUAACGAGUAUCAAUUGGAGGGCAAGUCUGGUGCCAGCAGCCGCGGUAAUUCCAGCUCCAAUAGCAUAUAUUAAAGUUGUUGCAGUUAAAAAGCUCGUAGUUGGAUUUUGAAGUUUACAUAUUAUGACCCACUUUGUAUUADGUGUGUUUUGUUGUGAUAUGUACUUCUCCUUACUAGACUUUCACU